UACGGAGGGGGCGAGCGUUAUUCGGAAUUAUUGGGCGUAAAGGGCGCGUAGGCGGCUUGGCAAGUGGAAGGUGAAAUCCCUCGGCUUAACCGAGGAACUGCCCUCCAAACUGCUUUGCUUGAGGCCGGGAGAGGCGAGUGGAAUUCCCAGUGUAGCGGUGAAAUGCGUAGAUAUUGGGAGGAACACCAGUGGCGAAGGCGGCUCGCUGGACCGGUUCUGACGCUGAUGCGCGAAAGCGUGGGGAGCAAACGGG
rnacentral:rRNA from 1 species